rnacentral:tRNA from 1 species
GGCAAGGUAGUUUAAUAAAAUGUUUGUUUUACACACAAAAGUUGAAGGUUUUCUAUUGUCA